rnacentral:rRNA from 1 species
UACAGAGGAUGCAAGCGUUAUCCGGAAUGAUUGGGCGUAAAGCGUCUGUAGGUGGCUUUUUAAGUCCGCCGUCAAAUCCCAGGGCUCAACUCUGGACAGGCGGUGGAAACUACCAAGCUGGAGUACGGUAGGGGCAGAGGGAAUUUCCGGUGGAGCGGUGAAAUGCGUAGAUAUCUGGAGGAACACCGGUGGCGAAGGCGGCAUCCUGGACCGAGAUCGACGCUGAGGCGCGAAAGCCAGGGGAGCAAACGGG